CUUCACCUGUCUCUUCCUCCCAGCACACCUUCUUUAGGGAAGCAACCCUGGCCAACAGACCACCAUCUCAGAGCCCACCAGUCCCCCAGCAGGAAGGACUACAGAGACACAGAAACUUGCCUGAAGACAGACAGACAUCAACCAGAAGGGACAGGAUCCAAACCAUAAUGAUGGGCACCACCUACUCAGUGCUUAGCGACUGUUUAUUCUGAUGGACACAAAGCUGUGGCCACGUUACAAAGGGCACCGUCAGAACAGCUUUAUUUGAAUACAGG
rnacentral:lncRNA from 1 species